CCCCAGUUCAGUACACUAUCAGUAAGGUAGAUUAGCUGAUGACAAUUGAAAGAAACAUUUUCUUGUCCAUAUAAUUCUUCCAUUUUCUUGACAAAGAGGACUAAAGAAAUGUUAGCUAAUCUAAAGUCACGCUGUGAAAUAGAUCCUUGGACCAUAAUAUGUUUUUUUUUGUAGAAAUGGAGCCAGAAGGAUGCCAGGCAGAACAGUGAUUGAAUAAAACAGAAGAAAUGCACGACACUCCGAUGCGUUCUAAACUUGUCUCGUAUGCGGUGAUCACGGUAUUCUUGUGAUUUUCUUUAGUGGCUUGAGAUUUAGCAGUAGAACGUCUAAUUCUGUAAUUUGUCAGCCUAUGUACGACGGAUUCAAACAGUUGCACGUGUCCAAAUAAAGAGACAGAAGUUGUCGAGUUAUGCCGAGGAGAACAGAAUGCAUGCAUCAGGCACAAAACCAAACACAAUGUUGCACAAUGGAAGCAAAAACAGUUGACAACCCCUUUACACCAUUUUGCGGAAUGUCAGUGCGAGCAGUGUGAAAUGCAUUAUCCUUAAAUUGAUUGUGUGAUCUUUCAAUUUGCAGUUGUUGACUGUAAGGAUAGGAUCUUACAUAUCCUCUGCCUUUGGGGACAACUUUCCCGGGGUGCAAGCACCAGUCACAACCAUAUUCACCAUUGAAUUGCUUACAGUAACGAGGUACUGGCCUGGCAAUUGCAUCUAAGGAACAAAUCAAGGAGAAGACAUAAAGCCGCCACAUAAAAGGCGCCAAGCUCUACGUAACUAAAUCGUGCGCAUGGGCGGAAGUUAAAAAACUAGGCGCGAGCAAAGAAAAUAACGGUUUACGCUCAGUUUGCACUUUGCAGCACAAGCAAAAUAUCACCAAACAUGUAUGCACUUGUGUAUUUCUUUGAAGAAAGGACAUCAGAAAUUGUUGAAAUGGAAAACAUUGAAGAGUUUGAUGGGACGUGCGAUAAUUUUCAAGAAUGUAUUGUUAAUUGGCAGCGCAAGGAAGAUCGCAAGAGACCAGUAGAAAUGUCAGAAUGUGCAAGCGAAGAAAGGAUAGAGGAAUGA
rnacentral:lncRNA from 8 species